CCUACGGGAGACAGCAGUCGAGAAUCAUUCACAAUGGGGGAAACCCUGAUGGUGCGACGCCGCGUGGGGGAAUGAAGGUCUUCGGAUUGUAAACCCCUGUCAUGUGGGAGCAAAUUAAAAAGAUAGUACCACAAGAGGAAGAGACGGCUAACUCUGUGCCAGCAGCCGCGGUAAUACAGAGGUCUCAAGCGUUGUUCGGAAUCACUGGGCGUAAAGCGUGCGUAGGCUGUUUCGUAAGUCGUGUGUGAAAGGCGCGGGCUCAACCCGCGGACGGCACAUGAUACUGCGAGACUAGAGUAAUGGAGGGGGAACCGGAAUUCUCGGUGUAGCAGUGAAAUGCGUAGAUAUCGAGAGGAACACUCGUGGCGAAGGCGGGUUACUGGACAUUAACUGACGCUGAGGCACGAAGGCCAGGGGAGCGAAAGGGAUUAGAUACCCCAAUAGUC
rnacentral:rRNA from 1 species